rnacentral:rRNA from 1 species
AGAGUUUGAUCCUGGCGUCAGGAUGAACGCUAGCGGCAGGCUUAAUACAUGCAAGUCGAGGGGCAGCAGGGGUAGCAAUACUCGCUGGCGACCGGCAAACGGGUGCGGAACACGUACGCAACUUUCCCAAAACUGGUGAAUAGCCCUCCGAAAGGAGGAUUAAUACACCGUAAGAUAAUGGAGUGGCAUCACUCUAUUAUUAUAGCUCCGGCGGUUUUGGAUGGGCGUGCGCCUGAUUAGGUAGUUGGUAGGGUAACGGGCCUACCAAGCCAACGAUCAGUAACUGGUGUGAGAGCACGACCAGUCACACGGGCACUGAGACACGGGCCCGACUCCUACGGGAGGCAGCAGUAAGGAAUAUUGGUCAAUGGACGAAAGUCUGAACCAGCCAUGCCGCGUGAAGGAUGAAGGCCCUCUGGGUUGUAAACUUCUUUUAUAGGGGACGAAAAAAGGGAAUUCUUUCUCACUUGACGGUACCCUAGGAAUAAGCACCGGCUAACUCCGUG